rnacentral:rRNA from 1 species
CAAUAGCGUAUAUUAAAGCUGUUGCGGUUAAAAAGCUCGUAGUUGGAUUUCUGUCAAGGACAACUGGUCCGCCCUCCGGGUGAGCACAUAGUUUGGUCUUGGCAUCUUGCUGGAAGCUGUUGCUGCACUCGGCUGUGUGGCGCAGCGUCCAGCACUUUCACUUUGAGGAAAUUGGAGUGUUUCAAGCAGGCACAUGCCUUUGGACACAGUAGCAUGGAAUAAUUAGAUUGGGCUUUUGCUCCAAUUUGUCGGUUUCUGGAGCUGAGGUGAGAAUUAAUGGGGAUUGUUGGGGGCAUCCGAAUUUAGCCGUCAGAGGUGAAAUUCUUGGAUCUGCUAAAGACGGACAACUGCGAAAGCGUUUGCCCAGGAUGUUUUCAUUGA